GGGGCCAGAGCCGCGGCAGAGGCAGAGGAGGGAGCUAGGAGGUGAGACCCGCUCCACCCUGCUCGCCUAGGCUCGGCGGAGGCUAAGAGCAGGGCAGCCUCCUCUGCCCGGCGCCCGCUGAGCCCCGGCAUCUGGAACUCAGGGCCCUGGCGCUCCAGGGGCGGGAACUGGCCGGGAGGACCGCGCGGGAGAGCACGGAUGGGCACCCUGGGCUCGAUCUUCUCACCUGGGGCGGGUGGGUUCUGCACCACCCUCCCACCCUCCUUCCUCCGUGUGGACGAUAGAGCCACAUCCAGCACCACGGACAGCUCCCGGGCGCCUUCAUCUCCUCGUCCUCCAGGCAGCACAAGCCAUUGUGGAAUCUCCACCAGGUGUACAGAACGGUGCCUCUGCGUCCUGCCACUCAGGACCUCUCAAGUCCCCGAUGUGAUGGCUCCUCAGCAUGAUCAGGAACCAAAAAGAAGAAUGUACUUCAUCUGGUUGGGCUGGAUUCCCUCUGAUAAGCCUUCCCAGUUGACUGAAAGAUGAGGCUAGGCUCUAGCAAGUUGAAGUCAAACCAGCUCCUUCAAGAAGCUUUGAGCAGAAUGAAGUGGGGAGGACCCAGCUUCCAGCCCAGGAAGCCCACUGUACCUGGAGCCAUCUGGGAUAAGACUUUGACCCAUGACUCCCAUAUCCACAGCCUGUCCAUCCUAGCCCAUCCCAGUUUAUCCUGUAUCAUUUGAGCUGGGAUUCCCACAUCCUCUGAGUUGGAAGUCCCAUCUCAAGUCUUCAAUAAAGACUCUUGAAUAUUGAAUCACA
rnacentral:lncRNA from 1 species